UCCCUGGUGGCUCAGAGGUUAAAGCAUCUGCCCCCAAUGCAGGAGACCCAGGUUCGAUCCCUGGGUCGGGAA
rfam:TPA: Bos taurus chromosome 6, whole genome shotgun sequence.